rnacentral:rRNA from 1 species
AACAUGUCUUUAAGAAAAUAUUUUAAAGUUYAAUYUGCUCCAUGAUUAAUAUAUUAAAUAGCUGCAGAAUUUUAACUGUACAAAGGUAGCAUAAUCAAUAGUUUUUUAAUUGAAAGCUGGAAUGAAUGAUUUUAUAAGGUAAAUAUUGUCUCAAAUUUAAUAAUAUUAAAAUUUUUUUUUUAGUAAAAAUACUAAAUUGAUUUUAAAAGACGAGAAGACCCUAUAGAAUUUUAUAAUUUUUUUAUAUAAUUAAUUUAAUAGUAAUUAUUAUGGAAAUUAUUAGAUUGGGGAAAUUUUUAAAUUAAUUAAAUUUUAAAAUAAAAAUAAACAAUAAUUUUUGAUUAUUUGAUCUUAUUUAUAAAUUUUAAGAAUAAAUUACCUUAGGGAUAACAGCGUAAUUUUUUUAGAUAGAUCUAAUAGAUAAAAAAGUUUGCGACCUCGAUGUUGAAUUAAGAUAAAAUUUUAAUGAAGAAGUUAAAUAUUUUUGGUCUGUUCGACCAUUAAAAUCUUACGU